CAAAAUUGGAUUUUCAAAUCUAACAUUCAAGCUUUUCCGCCCAAUUAAAACCUAGUUUUUUCUCACUAUUCCAGCCGCGCCUGGUCUUCCAUUUCUCCCACCGCCGUCCUCUCACCGGCGUCGCCACCGUCCUUGCUCGGACGCUCACCGUCGCAGCCGCCGACAAUUGGGAUUGCACUGCCCUCGCCCAGCCCUACCCCGUCCCGCGACUCCAUAGCUGCAACAAUUGCCGCGACUGGUCUUCCAUUUCUCCCACCGCCGUCCUCUCACCGGCGUCGUCACCGUCCUUGCUCGGACGCUCACCGUCGCAGCCGCCGUCAAUUGGGAUUGCACUGCCCUCGCCCAGCCCUACCCCGUCCCGCGACUCCAUAGCUGCAACAAUUGGGGUUGAAACAGUCAAGGUUUUCAUUUAUUGAUACAAACAUCUGCAGUUUUUAUGGCAAACGAGGAAUCUAAAAGGCUGCAGCGAAGGGAGUCCCAGUGUCGAGUGUGAUAUAUGACUCUUUUCGAGCUUUACACGUGAAGAAGGAUGGGACUUACACCGAUAAAAAGUCUGAAAGAAUCGAUGUGAAGGUACAAGAAAUUGCUGCAGAGAUGGGCCAAUCUAAUCCUGAUACGCCCGUGGAUAUGAACAAGAUUUAUCUAGAUGUCUUGGGAGGCGGUUUAGAUAAAAAGCAAAGAUUGUUCGGCACACGUAGUCUCGCAUCGACCUUGAAGACCAAUAUAUCGGGAGAGAGUAGUACUUCAGCUAUGUCCGACAUUGACAAAGAGCAGUAUGCCACUCGCCUAGGAGAUGUAGAGGAGCAGCUUCAAGCGGAGCGAGAAAGGACAUCUCGAUUAGAAGAACAUGUUAAAGUUGCAAUGGAGAUUAUCAAGCAGUUGCAAGGGCAAUCAAGCAGCGCCACUAGCCAUCCCAAUCCACCAUCACAUGUUCCAUGAUUAUACAUGUGUUUUGAUUUUGAUAUCGACUAUCUCUAGGUGCUUGGUUUUGAAAUACUUGUUAGAUAUGCGAUUUUUAAACUAUUUUGGUUUGUGACUAUUAUUUCUAGGUGUUUGAUUUUGAAAUACUUGUUAGAUACGUGAUUUCUAAACUAUCUUGAUUUAUGACUAUUUUGGUUUAUGACUU